rnacentral:lncRNA from 1 species
UUUCUACGGCUUCUACAUCACUAAACUGAUGAUCACAUUGGAUACUACCUUUUCUUUUCUUUUUGACUUAAUAGUAUUAAUGGUUUUCGAGUUUGGCAAACAUUUUUUUUCAAAAUUGGGUAGGAUUCGAUGGCCAGAUUGAUACAAUCUUUGUACGGCCGAAACGCUUCCCUACCGUUAAUCAAGCAACCAAACUUCACUUAAUCCAAGGAAAAGAAGAAAAGCAAAAAGUAAAAGCCAAAAGAAAAAUUAUUCAAUUGAUUGGUCAAACACUAACGUUGACAAUAAAGCUUCUUUUUUUUUUUAACUCUCUACCAUUGAUCUUUUAUUCCACCCCUUCCUUACAGCUUUUUGUUGUUGUUGUUUUCUAAAACAGAACCUCAUAAUAUCAGACAUAUUGGGACUCUGAAAAUUCAACCUUCAGGGAGAAAAAAUCCUUCUUGUUUCCAUUAUGUUUAUUUUGUUAUAGAUGGAGGCAUCGGUGCUUGAGUUGUGAAUGCAUAAGCAUGAACCAUAAAGUUCAAUCAAGAUAUGAGGAGAAUCUUCUUUUUCCUUUAUCUUUGCUUUUCUGUUUUUCCUUUGUUGAUGGCGCCAAACGUAGUCUUAAAGUAUAUUAGAUACAUCUGGUGACCAACAUUCAAUUAUAAUAAAGAGUAUAGAUAGAUACAUCAAUACUAUCCAGCCCUCUUUCAUGAUGAUGUUGCAAGUUUUGCACUCCACCCCCAUAUUAUUAUGAAGAGGAGAAAUUCCUGUUAGUUGAGCUUUAUUUUCUAAGAAAUGACUUCUAACAUUAAUAAAUUUGAAUCAUGAUAUAUUUAUAGCUAUUUCUCUUACUCUCUCGUAUUAUAGCUUUCUUUAUAUGCUAAAACAGGAGAUGAGUAGGAAGAAACAAUUUUUGUUAAAAGACGUGAAGUUGUCUUAAGAUUGACAAGGCAGUUAGAUGCAUUUAAAUUGGUAUUUAAGGAUAUGUCUGUAUAUAACUAGAACUAAUUAAGAUUACAAUACACUGCAAAAUGAUUCCACCUUUUUUUUUGGGGGGUUCUCUCUUUUAUAUGAUCAAAUACAAUGUUGAUAUGAACAAGGUUUUGCAGUUGUAGAAAAUCGUGGAGGACUUUUUUUUUUACAAAAAAGAAAGAUAAAAUUCAUAAAAAAUGUGAAGUUAAGCAUAUUUAGCGACGGGUGGGGUAUGGGGUGGUUUGCUAACAUGGAAUGCGCAUGGCAGAUUGGCACUUUAAAGAAGGGAUGGGGCCGAGGGGGCGGGAGUUGUUAAAUCCUCGGGGUAGAAAAAGGUAAGUAAGCGUGUCCCUGGCAUUAGACAAGGAGUAGAGGGGGCAGCACAUGCACAGCAUAACUAUAUCUCUUUAUUUUAUGUCCCACUCCACUCCCCCUCAUCUCUGCCGCAACAUUAAAUACCAUAUGCAUCCUUACUAUUCAUAAUGGUUUUUUGUUGGGUUGAUGUUACAAAAUUACAAUUUUACUAUAGAUGUAUUUAUAAUAUUUAAGAUUUUUUUAAGUAGGAGUUUAAUCUUUGGUGGUGAUGUUGAUUUUAGAUAUAUUCCCCACCCGCAAGUAGAUAUCAUACAUUCUAAUAUAAUUAAAAAUGGUAUAAUUAAAAUAUUUUUAAUAUUUUUAAUAUUAUUUUUAUAUUUUUGAAUUUUUAAAUUUUAAAAAAUUAAUUAAAUGUUGGUGCGUCAUCUACAUGUAUGCAACGGCGAAGCUUAAAAAAUAUUAAUUUUUUUCAUUCGUGAUUUGACAAAAAAAAGUAAGUUUAAAGGCUAAAAAAGCAUAAAUUUAAAUAAAUAGCUAAAAUAAUUUUUUUACAAAGUUAGAGAGCCAAAUAAAUUAUUAUUUUAUUUAAAAAUAUUUUUUUAAUAAAUUAUUAAUUUAGUCACAUAAUCUAAUAUAAUUUAAUUCAAACCCGUUGGUUCCAUCAACAAAUUGAUCUGCAUGAGACUUAAGGGUUAGAAUUUGGUGCGUAACUCUUUUUCCUCCUAAUUUUUACUUUUAAAAAGAAAUUGCAAUACAAUUUUUUUAUUAUAGAAUUCUCCAAUUUUUAUUUAUUUAUUUGAUCAGGAAGCUUUAUUGACACUGCUUUUAUUUUUCCAUCAAUCCAAUUUAAGAGACAAUUCACUUUUUAUAAUUAACAAAAAACAAAAAGAAAAUAAAAGAAAUUACUUUUUCCUUUUUCGUGUUCGAUACAAGAUAGAUGAAAUAUGGAAAAUAAAAUGCAAUGAAAAUAUAUUAUUAGUGAUAUAUCACCUCCAUUAUGUAGGGGAAAGAAAUAAAAAUAAUAUUAAUUUAUGAUACUUUCAUAAUGUGGUUAAAAAUAAUUAUCUAGUAUUUUUUUGUAAAAAAAAAGGAAAGUUGAUAUCUAUGCUACUAAUGAAGUUUCUUAGUGAGUUUGUUACUAAUCAUAUUCGAAUUUUAAAAAUUGUGAAUUUUUAAAAAAUAAGUUAUUUAUAUAACUAGUAAUAUACUAUUUUGACUCUUUUUUUAUCCGAGUUAAUGUUAGUUAUCUCGUGAUACCAAUUCAAUAAAACACUUUAUUUAUAUUAAAUUAAUAUAGGUGAGAAGUAAAAUUAUUUAACAAAUAUAUUCUUAAAAAUACUAAAGGAGGUUUUGGUUGAAUAGCAAAAUAUAAAUAUUACAAAUUAUAAAGAUGUAGGUUCAAUAUUUUUACUAUUUUUCUAUAUAAAAUGAUAACCUUAUAAAAGUAGUUUGUGGUUGAUGGACUAAUUUUUUAAAAAGAAUUAAUAUUAGUAAAGAUAUAUAUGGUACUAAACAUAAGGAAAUAGGGGAAAACGUAUCAUAUUUGUAGUGGGAGAAUGGGAUCAUUACAAGGAAAAAUGAAAUAUAUAUCAUUAACAACAAACAUAAAAGAAAGCGUCUUUUGAUAAAGUUGUUAUUGGUGUAAUGUGAAGGGACCACAAUCAUCACCAUUCACCACUUGCUCCUAAUUGAGUUGAAAUCUUUUUACAACAUAGAAAACUAGAACAUCUCCCUUUCUUGCUUCCUAUAUAUAGAUUUUGUAUCAUCGCAAUUCCACAUCACACACGCAAGCAAAGCAAAGCAUUAGCAACCAUAGCCAUGGCUUCCUCACCAAAACUCUUCUCUAUGUCUAUCCUCUUCCUUUUUGCCCUCUUCUCCAUGCAAAUCCAUGCUAGAGAGUACUUCAGCAAAUUCCCAAGAGUUAACACCAAUGAGAAAGAGACAACAACCAGAGAGCAAGAGCACGAGACCUUCGUUCCCCAGACCACCCAAAAGCCAGAAGAGCAAGAGCCAAGGUUCAUCCCUGAAACCCAAAAUGGUUAUGGCCUUUACGGCCACGAGUCAGGCUCAGGCUCAAGCCGGCCCAGUUUCACCACCAAAGAAACCUAUGAACCCUAUGUCACCCCUGUUAGAUUCCACCCUGAUGAACCCUAUAACAGCAUCCCCGAAUCCUCCAACAAUAAAGACACUUACUACUACAACAAGAAUGCCUACAAGUCCACUAAGCAGCAAAACUUGGGCGAGGCCAUUUUCACCGAGAAAGGAUGGAGCACCAAGGAAAACCAGAACAACAACUACUACAACGGCAACAUUAAUGGCGAGAAGCAAGGCAUGAGCGAUACUAGGUACUUGGAGAAUGGAAAGUACUACUAUGACGUCAAGAGUGAGAACAGCUAUUAUCCAAACCAGCUCGACAACUCAAGAGGAGUUGCUUCCAGGAACGAGUUCGAUGAGAAUCGUUACAACAACAUGGGAAGGUACCACCAGAACCAAGAGGAGUUCGAGGAAAGCGAGGAAGAGUUCGAACCCUGAUCACCUGUCGUACAGUAUUUCUACAUUUGAUGUGUGAUUUGUGAAGAACAUCAAACAAAACAAGCACUGGCUUUAAUAUGAUGAUAAGUAUUAUGGUAAUUAAUUAAUUGGCAAAAACAACAAUGAAGCUAAAAUUUUAUUUAUUGAGCCUUGCGGUUA